rnacentral:rRNA from 1 species
GUGGGGAAUCUUGCGCAAUGGGCGAAAGCCUGACGCAGCCAUGCCGCGUGAAUGAUGAAGGUCUUAGGAUUGUAAAAUUCUUUCACCGGGGACGAUAAUGACGGUACCCGGAGAAGAAGCCCCGGCUAACUUCGUGCCAGCAGCCGCGGUAAUACGAAGGGGGCUAGCGUUGCUCGGCAUUACUGGGCGUAAAGGGCGCGUAGGCGGACAGUUUAGUCAGAGGUGAAAGCCCAGGGCUCAACCUUGGAAUUGCCUUUGAUACUGGCUGUCUUGAGUACGGGAGAGGUGAGUGGAACUCCGAGUGUAGAGGUGAAAUUCGUAGAUAUUCGGAAGAACACCAGUGGCGAAGGCGACUCACUGGCCCGUUACUGACGCUGAGGCGCGAAAGCGUGGGGAGCAAACAGGAUUAGAUACCCGGGUAGUCC